AAUAUGACUAAACCGUGCCAGAUUCUGCCUGUUUUAUUUACCUCUUUUCAUCAUCAAAUAUUUGCAGGGAAAAAUCAUUAAAUUAUUCAAAGUCAUGUGAAGUGCUUGACUCGUUACAAAGAGAAUAAUUUUUACCAUAAUGGCAGACGAGGAGAACGUUCUAUUUGUUCGCGAGAAUGGACAGGAUGUUGAUGACAUUUGGGACGAUACUGUCCUAAUUAAGGCAUACGACAGGGCUGUUAAUUUAGCGAAAGAGCAAGUUGCAAAACGUCUCAGCAUGGAGACCGAAGCUCCACGUGGAAAAUCGGAUAAACAACAAAAAUGUAAAUACCCCGGAAAAGAAGGAAAUUAUCAGAAGAAGUGGGCUCUAGGCUCACCAUGUCGUGCAGUUUACUCUGCUGAUGGGAUGGAAUACGAAGCAAUUAUAUCCAGAAUACUCGAUAAUGAUUGUGGCAGAUGUAUCGUCAAAUUUGUAGGAUAUGGAAACACUGAAAAAGUGGAACUAUCCUCUCUUCGCGAGUCUGAGGGCCUCCAAGCUCAGAUAGCCCAACAGAAAGAGUCAGCAGCGGCAAAAGACUGCGAUUAUUCAAGGGCUGAGGAAUCUUGUCAGUCUUCUCAUGGAAAUGCUCGAGAAAAUGGAGAGGCAAUGGACUACGAGACAGAAAUCCCCAAGCAGUCACGAAAUAAUGUUCCUGGACCUUCAGCAUUCCCUUUCGGAGGCCUCACCCCACCUGCCCCUCCUUUACCGCCACACAUGAUGGCCAAACUUCCGGCUAAUGAUGCUGACGCACUCUCAAGUAUGUUAAUGUCCUGGUACAUCAGCGGGUUCCAUACAGGAUAUUAUCAUGGUAUGAAGCAAGCCCAAAGUAAUGCCGAGCGUCGAAAAAACUGAGAUGUGAUGUAAUUUAAUUUUUAUACGAAAAAACAAAACUAGAAAACUUGAAAACGAAUUGUUUUUCUGGCAGCUUUGAGUACAUCAAUGGAAUUUA